CUACCCUACUUUUGUAAUUGUAACAAAGUUUUUUGGUUCCAAUAAAGAUUAUUAUUAUAAUUAUUUUUGAAUUAACAUUAUUUUUAUGAUGCUACUUUCCAUUCAGAAUGCAAUUUCAAAUGAAAAGAACCAGCAAGAAACUUAACAAAAAUUGAUUUUACAAUUAUGAAUUUAUGUCCAUUCACCUUAAUUAAAUCAAUAAAGCGAAAACUUUGAUAGCAAAGAGCUUCAGUAGCCAUUUACCAUUGUCAUUACAACCACACGCACUAUCAAGAGUGAAUAAUUACGAAAGAUAAAUAGUUAAUUUGCAUGAAUGUAAAGUUACUUCAAAAUGUUCAUGGACUAUUAGAAGAGUUUUGAAGAAAAAACAUGUUUGACAUGCCAAUUAUGAGCCGGCUUAUGUUUAGAUGUGGACAAUUAAUGGCGUAAUGACUGUAUGAAACACCAAUUACUCUAUAUUCCAAUAUUCAUUAUUUUAGAAACAGGUUAAAUAAAUAUUAACACCAAGAUAUUGAAAAAUCAACAGCAAGACAACAUUUUAAACAUAGAACCACGCUGACAAAAAAAAAUCCGUCAAAAAGGUACCUAGCGAUAUGUUGCACGUUUAUUACAAACGUGUACCCAAACAAGAGUUACAUAUUUCAGGGUGAAGAAAUUUUAAGAUAAAUUCAAACUAUAAUACCAGCAAUUCAAAUAGUUGCUGCGACAGACGCUGAAAAUGCCUCAAAUAUUAAGUAACCAACAAUCUUAAUUCCCAAUGUGGCGGGACUUACAAGACAAACCAAUAUAAAUGUAGAAUAAAACUAAAAAAUUAGGACGUUGAACGAAUUAACUAUAAAAAUAUGAAAUAACGAUGGGAUUAACGGCACUAAAAGUCACCUAUUGUUUAAACAAUUAUGUGAAGCGAACAAACAAAAUGUCGUUUUUUUUUUUUUUUUUUUUUAGUACGUUUGUUCCGUUUGGAACAGGCUAAGGUCGGAGACCAUGCUGCCUAGUCUUCAAAAAGAUAAAUUGUCUGGAAUUUUAUUUUUCUAAUGUCGCUUCAAUUAUUGUCAUAAUCUUCAAUAUUUCAUUUGUCAAAUCCGAUGCUGCAACGCUCAGAAUUCUUACAGAAUUUAGCUAAAUGUCCAUACCUCAAGCACCGGUAGCAUUGUUUAACUGGUGGUAUAUAUGGAGUGACAUUGUGGCGCCAACCUCCAAUAUCCAGAUAUUCAGGUAAUACAGAUGCAGCAAAAGUAAUUGUCACGGUUAGAGUUGGCUGUAACACAUAUCCAUGAGUCAAGGUAUUUUUUCUUAAAAUUCUUUUAAUAGCAAUAAUUUUCUUAGAACUCGAUAUCAUAGUAUAUAUUUUUUUAUUAGAUAUAUUUGUAGGUACAUUUCUAAUAACGCCUGUAACUUCUGUUGAAGAAGCAGGAAUACUGGCCUUAAAAUGGUAGUCAUUUAAAAAAGUUUUAUUAUUUAAAAAAGCAUUGGCUAAGUCUGGCUUUUGAAAGUAUACUCCGAUUUUGAAUUUAUUUAUAGAUCUAAGAUAAGUUACCCCUUUAUUAAAUCGUUUUAAACAGGAGGAGAGUGAGAGCAAGUCUCUGGAUCCAAUGGUUUUCUGACUAUCUGAGGAUUCUACAAAGACAACAAAUUCUGUCCCAGGGGAUUCCUCGGGAUAUCUUCUAAUAUAAUCUGUGACGUAGUAAGGUUUAUACUUAUCGGCCUUAUCAAUUUCAGAUUCUGAGUCAGUAGAAGUAUCUUCCGAAUAUAUAUCCUUGUCAUUACAAGGUUCAUGGUCUACAUCACCUGAAUCGUCAUCUUUUUUUUUCCUUUUUCUACAACUGCGCUUCCCCAUGAAUGCUAAUUAUAUUACUGUCGCUGAAUUUAGUGAAAAUAUAAUAUUUUAUUAAAUAAUAAGAAUUGAUAGAGAUAGUUUUAAUAAAUUAAUAAAAAAAAUUUAAAAAA